rnacentral:tRNA from 1 species
AAUAAGAUGCCUGAUUAAAGGACUAUUUUGAUAGAAUAGAUAAUGUAUUUUUACUCUUAUUA